AGUGAACGCUGGCGGUAGGCCUAACACAUGCAAGUCGAACGGCAGCACAGUAAGAGCUUGCUCUUACGGGUGGCGAGUGGCGGACGGGUGAGGAAUACAUCGGAAUCUACUUUUUCGUGGGGGAUAACGUAGGGAAACUUACGCUAAUACCGCAUACGACCUACGGGUGAAAGCAGGGGAUCUUCGGACCUUGCGCGAAUGAAUGAGCCGAUGUCGGAUUAGCUAGUUGGCGGGGUAAAGGCCCACCAAGGCGACGAUCCGUAGCUGGUCUGAGAGGAUGGUCAGCCACACUGGAGCUGGGACAGGGUCCAGACUCCUACGGGAGGCAGCAGUGGGGAAUAUUGGACAAUGGGCGCGAGCCUGAUACAGCCAUACCGCGUGGGUGAAGAAGGCCUUCGGGUUGUAAAGCCCUUUUGUUGGGAAAGAAAAGCAGCAGGUUAAUACCCCGCUGUUCUGACGGUACCCAAAGAAUAAGCACCGGCUAACUUCGUG
rnacentral:rRNA from 1 species